ensembl:lncRNA
GCCUUUGAUUGGAAAAGAAUGUGUCUUUUCUUGCUCUAGAUAAGCUCACCUCUGCUUGGUUUCCAUGUACUGCUGAGCAACAUAUAAAAAGAAAUUAAAUUGCUUCACGUAUUUACCUAAGGAGUGAAAAGUAUAUUUGGGAGAGACAUUGAGAUUUUUUUACAAGGUUGUCUGAUGUGAUUCUUGCUAGUGGACUCGGCCUGCUAUUUUCAGGGCAGCUUAGUGUCAGAUCAAGCACACGGAGAACAUAUUACUUAAAGCCUGUCAAAGGGAACCUAGCUGUGUCUGAAGCAGGAAUUUGUCAUGCCGCUGAAUUCUAAAGUUUGCUUCUGCUUCUUGAAGAGAGCAACACAGACGGUGCUUCAGUAACAGCAGACAAUUUCCCUUUCAUGCGCUGGGAUGAACCAGGCAGCUGAUUAAUAAUUAAGCGCUGAUUAGAAAGUACAACAAGCAGUAAGCAAUCAGGUGUAAUUAUGCAAAACGUACACAGAAUGAACGAGAUCUGCAGAUCUAUUCCAGUUGUCUGCCCGAAGGAUUUUUCACCAUACUGCAGGUGCACACAACGUGCUCAGACUCAACCCGGUUUCCUUCUCUUGCAUUAAAACCACGGAGAGAGGCAGGUUGCUCCUCAGGAUCCUUACAUCAAAUCAGCGUACCUCGAGGAGCAGUAAUUCAUUAAGCAGUAUUCAAUCAAACACCCGUGUUUGUGACCUCUGGUUACACACAUUUCCAAGUGCUGGUACACUGUUUUCUUAAACCUCCAAAGCUUGUAACUGUGAGAGCCUCUGCAUGCCUCAAAAUUACAGACUAGCAGGUGAGAGGGGCUGAAGAGACAAGAAGAACCUUCCAGUUGUUUUUGGAAAGUGGAAGGCUCUGCACAGGGAUGAUGUUUCCAAGAAGUCAAAUGUGCAUCACGGAGAGGGAAGGGGUUGUGUAUCACUCAGCCUUAAAACUGCCAUGAAGGGAAAGGACCUCUCUUGUCCAG